rnacentral:rRNA from 1 species
GACGAACGCUGGCGGCAGGCCUAACACAUGCAAGUCGAACGAGUGGCGGACGGGUGAGUAAUGUCUGGGAAACUGCCUGAUGGAGGGGGAUAACUACUGGAAACGGUAGCUAAUACCGCAUACCCUCAGAUGUGCCCAGAUGGGAUUAGCUUGUUGGUUGGUUAACGGCUCACCAAGGCGACGAUCCCUUGCUGGUCUGAGAGGAUGACCUGCCACACUGGAACUGAGACACGGUCCAGAGUCCUACGGGAGGCGGCAGUGGGGAAUAUUGCACAAUGGGCGAAAGCCUGAUGCAGCCGUGCCGCGUGUGUGAAGGAGGCCUUCGGGUUGUAAAGGACUUUCAGCGGGGAGGCGUUACCCGCAGAAGAAGCACCGGCUAGCUCCGUGCCAGCAGCCGCGGUAAUUC